GAUCCUGGCUCAGGAUGAACGCUAGCGGCAGGCCUAACACAUGCAAGUCGAGGGGCAUCGGGAUUGAAGCUUGCUUCAAUUGCCGGCGACCGGCGCACGGGUGCGUAACGCGUAUGUAACCUACCUAUAACAGGGGCAUAACACUGAGAAAUUGGUACUAAUUCCCCAUAAUAUUCGGAGAGGCAUCUCUCCGGGUUGAAAACUCCGGUGGUUAUAGAUGGACGUGCGUUGUAUUAGCUAGUUGGUG
rnacentral:rRNA from 1 species